rnacentral:rRNA from 1 species
GAUGAACGCUGGCGGCGUGCUUAACACAUGCAAGUCGAACGGAAGUAAAAGAAGGGAAGGGGCAGUUUACUGCAACGGAACAUUUUUUACUUUAGUGGCGGACGGGUGAGUAACGCGUGGGUAACCUGCCUUAUACAGGGGGAUAACACUUAGAAAUAGGUGCUAAGACCGCAUAAGCGCCCAGGGCCGCAUGGCCCAGGGUGAAAAACUCCGGUGGUAUAAGAUGGGCCCGCGUCUGAUUAGCCAGUUGGCAGGGUAACGGCCUACCAAAGCGACGAUCAGUAGCCGGCCUGAGAGGGUGGACGGCCACAUUGGGACUGAGACACGGCCCAA